GACGUAGGAGGCGAGCGUUGUCCGGAUUCAUUGGGCGUAAAGAGCACGCAGGCGGUUUGGCAAGUCGGAUGUGAAAACCCGGAGCUCAACUCCGGACCUGCAUCCGAAACUGCCCGACUAGAGGUAGGUAGGGGAGAUCGGAAUUCCUGGUGUAGCGGUGAAAUGCGCAGAUAUCAGGAGGAACACCGGUGGCGAAGGCGGGUCUCUGGGCAACAACUGACGCUGAGGAGCGAAAGCGUGGGGAGCGAACAGG
rnacentral:rRNA from 1 species